UGUGACUUUCGGUAACGUCCAGGGUCUCGAUUGGUCUCAAUACACCUGUCAUAAGUGGUAACGUUAGAUCUUUGCCGUUAAUGUAAACUAUUCAUAUUUAUUCAGUAAGUAGUCCCCUUUAAUUGCGGUUGUCGUGAUUCUAUGUAUUAGUUACAGCAUCAAAACUUUGUAUAUUUAACGAUCGAUUGUUUGUGGAAGAACUGCAAAAACCGCAUGAAAUAUUUUUUUAUUUGUGUAAAGGAGGGAUUUUGACAAAGUAGAAAGGAAAUAUAUUUCUUGAGUAAUUGGAGAAUCGAAAAGACAGAAAUGACGUCCAAGCUGUUAUUCUUUGAACCAAUGGGAAUUCUGAAUACCAUACCUCAGUAUCACGCCCUACUUGGUGUCUUUCUGAUUCUUUGGAUGCUAGUUUUAAUAACGAAGCGCUGGAAUGCUAGAGAAUGCGUAUCGUUUACCGAAGAUGAAGUUCGACGAAAGUUAGCCGAAUGGGAACCCGAACCGUUGAUAUCGGAGGUUCCCAAGGACCAUCCUUCUCUGCAUCCAAGACUCGUUACAUCACGUGUUGGCAAAAAAAUAACGGUUAAUAACAGUGAUUGUCUAAAUUUAGGAACCCAUAAUUAUUUGGAUUUUAUUGAUAACAAAGAAAUAGAGAAACGGGCCAUCGAAACCAUUGAGAAGUAUGGUGUUGGCUCUUGUGGCCCCCGUGGCUUUUAUGGGACUGUCGACGUUCAUCUUGAACUGGAAGAACGUCUAGCCAAGUUCAUGGAAGCCGAAGAAGCGGUACUUUAUUCUUAUGGAUUUAGUACGAUUGCAUCUGCAAUACCAGCAUAUUGUAAACGUCGGGAUCUUGUGUUCGUGGAUGAAAAAGUGAAUUUUGCAGUUCAAAAAGGGUUGGAUGCAUCUAGAUCCGUCAUUCAAUAUUUCAAACACAACGACGUGCGACAUUUAGAAAGUUUGUUACAAAAUCAAGUCAAGAAAGAUGAAAAGAACCCAAAAGCAGGAAAAAUUAGAAGGUUUUUAAUUGUCGAAGGAAUCUACAUGAACACGGGAACGAUCUGCCCUUUACCAGAACUCGUUGCUUUAUGCAGGAAGUAUAAACUACGAAUCUUUGUCGACGAAUCUAUUUCGUUUGGUACACUCGGUAAACAUGGACGAGGAGUUACCGAGUUUUACGGAGUGCCUAGGCAGGAGAUCGAUUUGAUCAUGGGGUCAUUGGACUGGGCAAUGGGUUCGAUCGGAGGGUUUUGCGUUGGCUCUUCAUUUAUUAUCGAUCACCAAAGGCUGGCAGGUCUUGGCUACUGUUUCUCCGCAUCUCUACCUCCUCUUUUGACGGCUGCUGCCAUUACCUCGUUAGAUACACUAGAGAAGAAGCCAGAAAUCCUAGAACGUCUGGAACGUAACUGUCUAGCCUUACACGCUGGAUUGAAGAGGAUUAAAUAUUUUGAUGUACCCAGCUUGGCACAGUCCCCACUAAAGCAUUUGUAUUUGAUCGCUCAGCUGGAACAUGACGAAGAGCAGCUAUUACUCGAGCAAGUAUCCAGAAAAUGCAUAGAGAAUAAUUUAGCAAUUAUUACCCCUGCUUACUUGGCAGUGGAGAGGGAACUGCCGAGAUCGAGUAUAAGAAUCUGCGUGUCCGUUGCACUGGACGACAAUGACAUUUCAUUCGCUCUAAAUACAUUAGAACGAUGUGCAAUCGAAGUUCUGUCCGAUAAGAUUCAUCUAAGAUAAUAUCUAAUCUAAGGAUGAAAUGAGUAUGCUUUAUUAGCCACGACCAACAAAAACGACCAUUAGCAAGUCAAUGACGAAAGUGACAAUUUUCAGUCAUAUUUUUAAAAACCGCAAUGUGAUUCUACAUUUUCUUGUAAAUUUACAAGACCGUUUCCAAGCUAUUUUCUCCUGGAUUGGACUUAGGCUAAUAAACGAAGUUCACAAUGGCGGACGGAUACAACAAAGUAAUUCACGUCAUGAAUAAAACGGCGAACCGCAGGAAGCAAUUGGUAGGGGAUACGAUAAGGAAGGACGAUGGGUGAUCUGGGACACGACGAGAGUCACUGGCCUCGAGUUGACAUUGACCCGAUUCCAUGACGAUUCGUUCUCGACCGCUCCUCUAAAAUACUUAUUUUUCAUUCUUUCUUUAAUACUCUUUCAAAUUUCCCGCUAUAUAUAUCGUUAAACAAACCGUACUUAUUCGUAAACAAUACGUAAGCAUUGAAGGUAAA
rnacentral:misc_RNA from 1 species